rnacentral:tRNA from 1 species
UCCGCUUUGGCGCAGUUGGCAGCGUGAACCGCGAUAUCUAGAGGCGGUAGAGUCCAAGGUUCGAGUCCUUGAAGCGGAA